UACGGAGGGAGCUAGCGUUGUUCGGAAUUACUGGGCGUAAAGCGCGCGUAGGCGGCUUUGUAAGUUAGAGGUGAAAGCCCGGGGCUCAACCCCGGAACUGCCUUUAAGACUGCAUCGCUUGAAUCCGGGAGAGGUGAGUGGAAUUCCGAGUGUAGAGGUGAAAUUCGUAGAUAUUCGGAAGAACACCAGUGGCGAAGGCGGCUCACUGGACCGGCAUUGACGCUGAUGUGCGAAAGCGUGGGGAGCAUACAGG
rnacentral:rRNA from 1 species